AAAACUUUUACCAUCUCUAACCUCCAUUCAUUCAUUCAUCAACUACAAUGAUGAUCACCACAAUGAUGAACAUCGAGUUUAAAAAAAAGCCAAUGUAAAAAUUCUGAAAAUAUGGUAAGUCCACGGCUAAACGAAGGCCUUAAUAAUCAGAAAAGAAAGAUCAUCUAUCAGUUCACGUUGAAUAAGCACAUUUUUUUUUACAGGAAAUUAUUGUUCUCAAACUUAUCUACGGGGAAGAAGAAAGAAAAAAAUUUGGAAUAGCAUACAACAAAAUUUCUUAUGAUAUCUAUUAACUCUGAACAAAGGAGCUUCCGAAUAAACUACAUGGAGUUCAGAAGCGCUCGACAAUUCAAAACCAUCACUAACUCUUCACACACUACGGACUUCUAUCUCCAAUAACAAUAUAACGAAAAUGAAGAAGAUGAAAAAGAUAAGAUACCAAGAAUAGAAUCAAGUAUGACAGCACAAAAUGUAGCCUGAUCUCACCAAGCUCAACAUGACCGAAGCAAAAUAGGACCCACUGAUGAGCUAAGCAUAUCACUUAGAGCUACUUGGACCUCAUUCGACCCAUGUUCACAACUUAUCAAGCCUGAAAGAAGGGGGAAGAAAUGACUUAAGUUCUUUUCAAAUGAAGCAUCUCCCAAACUACAAAUAGCCUGAAGAGUUACAACUAUAAGAGGUGCCCGUGAAGCCAAUUCCCGCCGUUUCCCAGAGCCUACAGGAAUCAGCCACUGGGGUUGUGCACUGGGAGCCAAUUGAGAUGUCUGUCCAGAGCGGGAAGUUUCAAUAUAAAACUGUAACACCUCCCGGCAAAGGUUGACAAGAUAAGAUUCCACCUCACACUCAUCAAAACUUGGAGGCCUAUCUUGUAUGAGAUUUUGUAAGAAUGUGAGGCAAAUUUGAUAAGACUCAUUUUCCAGGCGUAAAACUGGAGGGGCUUGCAUUUGGGUCAUGGAACCAAACUCUUGCAGCCUUGAACAUAACACGCUAUUAGUAUUGAUUUUGUGAGCAUGGGAAGCCACAUCAUGUAAAGCAUCAAAGAGGACCAAGGUAUUUUUGGCCGAAAGGUGAGGCCGAUAAAUGUUGUAUAUUUCCAUCACAGCCUGAAUCAAUAAAAGUUGCACAGAAGCUCUACAUUUUGCAUCAGAUAUAGAAGCAUAAAGACGACGUGUCAUCAGUCUCUCUGGAUCAUCAUCAAGCAUGCCAGAUCCAGCAGACUCUCCACUAUUUUGUCCAUUUAAUGUUUUGUGCCUUCUUACCAUGGAAUCUCCACUAACAAGGUAAGAGAAAUCAGGAAGCGUUGCAUUGGCUGCCUCUUUUAGUGACAUAACCACUUCCAGCCACUUCUCCUGUGAAAAUAGAUCACCAGCAUUGCUCAUCAAACGGACAAAAGCUGCAAUACCAAUGCCAGCAAGGCUUUGGUGCGGACGCCUAAUAAAGCUAACCAAAAGCUUCAGCACCUUCCUCAGAAGUGGAUUGACUGUGUUAUAGAAUCUGACAAAAAGAUCUACAACCAGUUGGAGGGCCAACGUGCAUGUCUCAUAAAGCCAUGCAUCCUGAUCAAGUUCACCAGCAUCACUAUCAAUCUCCUGCCCAGGAGCGUCACCACCAGUAGGAUCAAUAGCAUGCCUUACAUAGUCAAAUAUUGGAAACAGUACCGACUCAAAUACACGUUCCCAUAGAGGUAGAGAAAAAAGGUGGCCAUGAUUGCGUAAAGCAUCAAAAAGCACUUGUAAGGCACCCUUCCUGAUUUCAGGUCUAGGAUCAAAGCUAAGUUCUGAUAAACCUGCCAACAAAGGGAACCAGAAAUAUAGAUGAUCUUCCUUAUCUGUGAUCUCUCCAUUUUCAUGUUUCCCAUCUUUUCCAGCUUGUGGUGAAGAUGGAGAAAUUUUUCCGGGGGUUUCCUUAUCCUUGUUCCUUGCUGAGGAUCCCAGAUCUCCCUCUGCAAGUUUUUUAGCACAGAACCGAAGAAAGCCUAUAGCAUUGAGGCUAAUGUCUUUGUUGAAUCGACUAUUGGUGAAUGCAAUUAGACAAUUUACACAAUCUGUGAAGGUGGUUGUUUCAGUCUCAGUGAUGUAUGGGAAGUAGUCUCGAAUAAUCUUUUCCAUUAUUUCAAAGGCCAAGAGUACAAUGUUUUUGUGGUCGUCAUAAGCUGCUGUAGUGAAAACCAUGAACAUGCUCUUCCAUCCUGAUUUUACAUUGUUGACACGAGAUAAAACCAUUUGCGAGACACAUCUGAUUAUUAAUUCUCUGAUCUCAACGGCACUACUCUUACGCAUGACAAUUACAAAUGGCUUCAUAAAUUCAUUCUGAAAAUUGUAAUUAGCCAACUCUUCUCGCUCCAAGAAUUUCAUUGAUAAUUGGCGCAAAGAAUCCAUUGCAAAAAUUGCAAUGGAAAGAUUUUCAGAACAGCCAAUGUUUACAAAGAAAUCAGAAAGCACAUGCCAGAUGCUUGACCAUACAAGCCGGAUGCGAUUCAUAUUAUAAUGCGCAAUCUCAACAAUCUUUGUAAGGCUAAAAACUCGUGGGUCAGAUGCAGACCGCAAUUCCUCCAUAGAAACCUUGCAGAGAGCCUUGACAAAGUCAAUUAUUGCCUCACUGUUUAGUUUUUGACUACGAGUGAAUAUGCGGUUCAUUUCAGAGCUUCCCACUUGUUCCAACAUGUUUAAAUUAGAGACUAAAUUGUUCAUCUGUUCAGAUGUGACUGUCCCAGAAGCACUGCCACCGAUACCAGCACUAUCAUACGAACCUCUCAUCACAGCAGCAGCCGCAUACUGCAUCCUGCCAGGCCCCUUUUUUUUCAGAACAGGGAGGAUUGUAGAUUUGGUUUGUUUUGUCUUGUCUGAUUCAUUCUGAGGAAAAGCGAAAAAUGUAGCAUCUGGGGGAGCACCCUCACCCAAUAGAUGUAAAUGCUCAAAGCGUGAGACACAUGUUAAAAUAUGCUCCCAAGCUUCUUGCAAAUGAUUCCCAUCCUCAUCAGCAAUUGUGACUAUUGCCUUGAUAGCAUCAACAUUUUUCUGCUUGAUAUCAGCAGGAGAGUGGAGAGAAGUAAACUUUGCUAAUGAAGUAACAAAUGCGUCUCUAUGAGUCUUCAUGGACAUUACAGCAGUAACAUGGAUGGCAUAACGGAAACCUUCAAGACACAAAGCUAUCACCACUUCAUCAUCACUUUGGUCAAUAGGCACACUGAAGGCAGCCAACAUAGGAGCCCAGCAUACCUCGAUCAUGAACCGAAGUAUGACUACAUCUGUUGCUGCAUAAUAAACUGACUCAGAUUUGCGAGCUUUUUCCUUAAAUUGUUCUUGCAUAUGCCUGAUAAGAUCAUCACUGGUUUCCAUCUUAUCAUCACCCCGCUUACGGAUCACGAUGUUAAGGAUACUGUCCAAACCUAAAAUUCGGUUUGAGUUCAUAUACUGUGUACGUUGGAGAGCCAAAUCAUCUUCUUUCAUUUUGAUCUCAUUUCUUGAUAUGCGUUCAAACAAUGACCUUAAGUAUUCCUCAGGUAGAUCUUUUCCAUCGUCAAUGCCACGAUUGUUUCUUAUAAAAUCAUCAGCCGACAUCUUGUUCUUCACCAUGGGAUUGUGAGCAUCAGUAUUGAGCAUGAUCACAGAGUAAGCAAGGACAUAGGCCGUGUCAGCACUAGUAAAGACCUUCAGAUUACAUUUGCAGUAACGCUCAGCAAACUUUUCCAUGAUGCGAUCAAUCUUCUGAGCCUCACCAGGUAACCUGAAGCCUUGUAGGAAGACUCUGAUAGCUUCAUCAAACUCCAUGCCAUGAAAGUCAAAGGAAUCCACAUAGGCAUGCAUCACUUUGAGAGAUAAAUCCUCCCUCUCUCCUAAAUAAUCACCAAUAAGGGUCUUGUUCAAACCAGAUGCAUUUUUAAGAAAAGCUGCUAUCUCUUCAGGUGAAUUUCCCACUUUAUUUGCGUUGAUAAGAAACUCAAUACCUUUCUUAGGUUUCCGAUUAAAAAGAGAUAUACCUUCCUGAAGUUCUAGCUUGUAAGCCCGGCGUUGCUCAAUAGUUGAAACAUCAGAAGCUUCAGUGGAGGCUUCAGAAUGAGAAUCUGAUCCUUCAACUGGCUCAUCUCCAUUUCCAUUUGCCACAGGAAGAUUACCAGGUUCAGUAGUGUUCUCAGCUGCAUCAAAUUUGUUGGUAGAAUGCAAAUCUGGAAUCUGUAAUUGUUUGUUCAUCCAGUCUCCCAUCGAUUUCAAAAUGGCAACUAAGCACUUCAUAGCUUCAAGUUUCAUGGUCACCUCCUGUGGUGGCAAAAGUGUAGUGGUUGUACCAGGGGGGACACCUUGAGCAGUUUUAAGAAGUCCAUUGACCAUUCUCUCAAAUAUAUUUGAUGAAUUAACAUCACAAUCAUAGUUAAUGAAGAUGUCCACCAGUAUUUGUGAAUCAACACAUAGCUUAUCCAAAAACCGAAGCACUAUCAUCUUCUGUUGAAAAUUAGGUUGAGCAACAUUUUCCAAGACCCUAAGAACAAUCAUAGGAAAAAAUACUCCAAUCUCUGCUUUCAAUCCAGCUCUAAACCUUGACACCAGACUAAUGAAAAUGGAGCAAGAAAGCUGGAAAACAAUCAUAAGACUUGAAGCACUGUUCUUCAACAGUGAGAGACAUAAGUAUUGCUUAAUGGCACCUAAAAACCUGUCACUAGUUCUAAAGACAGCACCAGCAUUUUCCAAAAGGAUCUUCAACAACUCCAAGGCCACUAUCUUCCCUCUCAUCAACUGGGGAUCAGCCAAGGCCUCUUUAGGAGGUGUUUUCAUUGACAACUUGCAAAGAGCUCUAAAGACCAAAAAUGCAUCUCUCCGCAGUUUAUUCCCAAUCUGAACCUCUAAGUCCUCGUCUCUUUCCAUUUCUCCAUCAGCCAAUUCCCCUUUCCUCCCCUCCAAAGCCGUCUUAUACAUGCUAAUCUCCCAAUACUUGGCAUCCAACAUGUCCUUAUCCGUCGAAUCCAACAAAUCGGCAGGGUUAGUGGUCUCAACCGUGGUAGUCUCAAAUGCCCCGUCGUGUGCUCCCAGAGAAACCUUACCCGGAGUUCCCGGAUUCAAAACCCCAUCAAUGUCUUGCAUAAUUUUGGUUAUGAAACCCUGCACAAACAUCGUCAUUGAUCCAUCUGCAUCGGAUUUCUCAACCGGUUCCAUUAAUUCAGCAACAACAAUCGGUUGAAUCGGUACUGUCGACGAAUCUGCCUCCAUUCUCCUAAACACAAUCACCAACAUUUGGAUUAACGAUGCUUUCGCCGUCGUCUGAUUUACUACAUUUUUGCUCCCUAAAUAGAUAUCGUAACAAGUCCUCACUAUCAGCAACAAGCAAUCACCAUGAAUCCUCAACGAAAUUGAUGUAACAGCCGAUAGAAGCGUCUUAAGCACCGAGAGCUCAAUGGCCUCGUCACCAAUAUCGUAACAUUUACAAACGGCUUCAAUUAAUUUCGACAAGAGUUGCGCCUCGGUGCCUCCGCUGGUGUCUGCCUCGCCGCGUAAGUAACCGUGGGCGAUUAAUUUCUGGAUGCAAUCAACGGCUGGAUCAACGAGCUUGAGGAAGCCGGUGCCACAUGCGUUAAUCAGGGGACUGAUGAUGGAUUCAGACUCCGCGAGGGAGUACUCAACGGGGCCACCGUCGUGGAGCGGGCCAGGUAUCGAGGAGUCCGGUUCGGAAUCGGCGGCAGGUGACUGCUUCUGAGGAGAAGUGAUUCUCUCGAGAACGGAUUUGCAUUCAUGAGCAAGUUUAGAGUGUUUCCGCCACGACGCAUUUUUUAUGAUCUUCUCUAGGGCUGGGGCUACGAUUUGGCUUAAGCGGGAAUCGGCUUCCGAAGAAGCCAUUCCCGAGUCAGGACGAGCUCGUGACUCGGGAGCUGAGUCAGAUCUGAAAAUAGUGAGUAAUGCUAGAGACUAUUAGGUUGCUUUGGAUAGGAUCGCAUAAAAAAUGGCAGAUCGGAAAAGAGAAAUGAAAGAGAGGGAGGAAGAUAAAGAGUGAACUGUUGAACAGAGGAUGGUAUGAAAUUCGGAUCGCGAUUCGGUUUUGAUGUUGUCAUGAAAUUCCAAGUUUGAAAACUAUGUGACAGAAAUACCCUUAAUUUCUGACGGCGGUUAAGAUUCUUAAUUGGUAAUUAUGAGAUGUGCGUUGGGGUAGAUUGGGUAGUUAAAGUCUUGGUCUUAUGCAGUGGUUUUUUCGAAGAACCAACGCUCGCAGCUGCUCCUCCCUCGUGAGACUGAGAAUCGGUUU
rnacentral:misc_RNA from 1 species